rnacentral:rRNA from 1 species
AUGGAUCUAUUUGGCUGUAUGAAUGUGAAAGGACGAAGUGGUACGAAAUCACAAAGUGUGAAAUUUUUCAUUCUAGGGGAGGAAUUCAAUGAUGAUGCAAAGAAAGUGGAGGUCUACAAAAAAUCUAUCGACCUGAUAAAACAUGGCAGCCCUCGAGGUGUCAUAACACCUAUUUUUGUAACAUACUGUUCAAGAUUCAGUCGUAUGAUUGUUUGCUACCCUUACUUUGAUGAAUCUCUUUCUGACUGGUUGAAGAGAUAUAAAGGUGGUUCGUCUAACCUUCCAUAUGAGAUCAGAAUCAUGAUAAGGAAUCUGUUGGCUGCGAUAGAGCAUCAGGAUAUAAACAGAUUAGAAGAUAUUAGUCCAAUUGUCUGUGUUAAAAGCAAAAGGGAUAACACGAUGGAAGUCAAGGUCAUCUUGCUUCCAGUCCAAAGUGAACAAUCAAGCAAGGCCAAAUGGCGCACAAGUUUCUCUUCAUUAUUGAGGAAGAACAUGCAUCAAACUUGGUUGGAGGAUAAAGACUUUGAAGCUUUUCUGUUAAUGCUAGAAAGCAACGAAUACACGCUUGAGAAUUUGAUGGGACACCCGGUCUUGCAAGAUGGCGAUAGUAAUGGUCGCCUCAUUCUUGAUUGUUUUCGUGAAACAUUGACUCCCGCACAGCAUAAAGAAUUGGAAGAAAAACUUAAUGUCCAGAAAUAUGAUGGUGGUGAUUGGCGGCUGCGUUUGCAAGGGAAAACUCCUUUAGAAAAUAUGAGUAAACGCAGUACAGCAUAUCCAGGGCAUGACUUUCUAUGGUUUGCGAGAAAGACCGUUGCUCAUUUCAAUGAAAAUGAUGCAAAGUUUAAAAAUGCUACUGUAAAUCGAGUGCCCGCAGCCAACGUCAUUAAGGAUUUGUAUCCAGGAUUCAUAUCAGAUUUGUACAAGUUGUCUUUAGAACCUCAGUAUCUUAACAGGGCUUUAGGGUGA